rnacentral:rRNA from 1 species
AAACUGCGAAUGGCUCAUUAAAUCAGUUAUCGUUUAUUUGAUAGUACCUACCAACUACUUGGAUAACCGUGGUAAUUCUAGAGCUAAUACAUGCUAAAAACCCCGACUUCGGGAGGGGUGUAUUUAUUAGAUAAAAAACCAAUGCCCCUCGGGGCUUCUUGGUGAUUCAUGAUAACUUAACGGAUCGCAUGGCCUUGCGCCGGCGACGGUUCAUUCAAAUUUCUGCCCUAUCAACUUUCGAUGGUAAGGUAUUGGCUUACCAUGGUUUCAACGGGUAACGGGGAAUUAGGGUUCGAUUCCGGAGAGGGAGCCUGAGAAACGGCUACCACAUCCAAGGAAGGCAGCAGGCGCGCAAAUUACCCAAUCCCGACACGGGGAGGUAGUGACAAUAAAUACUGAUACAGGGCUCUUUUGGGUCUUGUAAUCGGAAUGAGUACAAUUUAAACCCCUUAACGAGGAACAAUUGGAGGGCAAGUCUGGUGCCAGCAGCCGCGGUAAUUCCAGCUCCAAUAGCGUAUAUUAAAGUUGUUGCAGUUAAAAAGCUCGUAGUUGAACCUUGGGCCUGGCUGGCCGGUCCGCCUCACCGCGUGUACUGGUCCGGCCGGGCCUUUCCUUCUGGAGAGCCGCAUGCCCUUCACUGGGUGUGUCGGGGAACCAGGACUUUUACUUUGAAAAAAUUAGAGUGUUCAAAGCAGGCCUUUGCUCGAAUACGUUAGCAUGGAAUAAUAGAAUAGGACGUGCGGUCCUAUUUUGUUGGUUUCUAGGACCGCCGUAAUGAUUAAUAGGGAUAGUCGGGGGCAUCAGUAUUCAAUUGUCAGAGGUGAAAUUCUUGGAUUUAUUGAAGACUAACUACUGCGAAAGCAUUUGCCAAGGAUGUUUUCAUUAAUCAGUGAACGAAAGUUAGGGGAUCGAAGACGAUCAGAUACCGUCGUAGUCUUAACCGUAAACUAUGCCGACUAGGGAUCGGGCGAUGUUUCUAUCUUGACUCGCUCGGCACCUUACGAGAAAUCA